GACGAACGCUGGCGGCGUGCCUAAUACAUGCAAGUCGAACGCACAGUUUAUACCGUAGCUUGCUACACCAUAGACUGUGAGUUGCGAACGGGUGAGUAACGCGUAGGUAACCUGCCUGGUAGCGGGGGAUAACUAUUGGAAACGAUAGCUAAUACCGCAUAAUAUUAAUUAUUGCAUGAUAAUUGAUUGAACGCUGCAACUGCAUCACUACCAGAUGGACCUUCGUUGUAUUAGCUAGUAGGUGAGGUAACGGCUCACCUAGGCGACGAUACAUAGCCGACCUUGGAGGGUGAUCGGCCACACUGGGACUUGGACACGGCCCAGACUCCUACGGGAGGCAGCAGUAGGGAAUCUUCGGCAAUGGACGAAAGGCUGACCGAGCAACGCCGCGUGAGUGAAGAAGGUUUUCGGAUCGUAAAGCUCUGUUGUAAGAGAAGAACGGGUGUGAGAGUGGAAAGUUCACACUGUGACGGCAUCUUACCAGAAAGGGACGGCUAACUACGUG
rnacentral:rRNA from 1 species